GCAGUCGAGCGAAGCGAUUUUAAGGAAGCCUUCGGGUGGAAUUAAAAUUGACUUAGCGGCGGACGGGUGAGUAACGCGUGGGUAACCUGCCUCAUACAGGGGGAUAACAGUUAGAAAUGACUGCUAAUACCGCAUAAGCGCACAGUGCUGCAUAGCACAGUGUGAAAAACUCCGGUGGUAUGAGAUGGACCCGCAUCUGAUUAGGUAGUUGGUGAGGUAACGGCCCACCAAGCCGACGAUCAGUAGCCGACCUGAGAGGGUGACCGGCCACAUUGGGACUGAGACACGGCCCAAACUCCUACGGGAGGCAGCAGUGGGGAAUAUUGGACAAUGGGGGAAACCCUGAUCCAGCGACGCC
rnacentral:rRNA from 2 species